rnacentral:tRNA from 1 species
GCCCCCGUGGCGGAAUUGGAAGACGCGCAUGGUUUAGGACCAUGUCCCGCAAGGGGUGGAGGUUCAAAUCCUCCCGGGGGCACCG